AAAAACAUCGCCUCUUGUUUAAAUAUAAGAGGUCCAGCCUGCCCAGUGAUAAUUCAUUCAACGGCCGCGUAAUUUAAAGCGCGCAAAGGUAGCGUAAUCACUUGUUCUUUAAAUGAGGACUCGAAUCAACGGCACCACGAGGGCUAUACUGUCUCCUUCCCCCAAUCAGUGAAACUAAUCCCCCUGUGAAAAAGCAGGGAUAUCCCUAUAAGACGAGAAGACCCCAUGGAGCUUUAAACAUGACAACAUCUUUAAAAUUUCAUACACCCACCUUAUUAACAUGAAAGCAUUGUGCGUUAGUUUUAGGUUGGGGCGACCGCGGAGUAUAAGAAAACCUCCACAACGAAAGGGAAUAAACCCUUACUUGAGAAAAACAUUUCUACAAAUUAUUAAUAUAACGUUUAAUGACCCGAUUAUCGAUUAACGAACCAAGUUACCCUGGGGAUAACAGCGCAAUCCAUUUUGAGAGCUCAUAUUGACAAAUGGGUUUACGACCUCGAUGUUGGAUCAGGGUAUCCCAGUGGUGCAGCCGCUACUAAAGGUUUGUUUGUUCAACAAUUAAAACCCU
rnacentral:rRNA from 1 species